AUGCAUCCGCUUCACCGCUCUCUCCUCCUCCUCUACGCGGCGGCGGCCGCCGGGUUCUUGCUGCUCUCGCCGGCCCACUGCGCCGCCUCGGCAUUGCCGGAUCCGGCGCCGCUCGACCCGGCGGGCCUGUUCAUGCCCUCGGCCACGCCGGCGCAGCCCGGCUCCGCCACGAUCCCGGCGUUCCCGGAGCAGUCGGACGCCGUCUCCGGGGCCUCCUCCACGUGCCCGCUCGACCCCUCCCCGCGGCUCCUCCCGGCCGUGCUCUCCUCCUGCGACGCAGACGGGGCGCUGCCCUCGAGGCUGCGGUGCUGCCCCGCGCUGGCCGCGUGGCUGUUCGCCGCCUACGCGCCCACCGCGCUCGCGGCGAGGCCGGCGCGACCGGCGUCGGCGGCGCCCGUGGACAUGCCGGUGCCUCCGGACGACUCGGAGGCGUGCGCGGGCGCCGCGGACCGCGCGCUGCGGUCCGAGGGGGCGGCGCUGCCGCGCCCGCCGGGCGCCAACGGGACGUGCGACGUGGCCUUCUGCUACUGCGGGGUGAGGCUGCGGCGGCUGACGUGCGGGGCCCAGCCGACGGGUGCCGGCCAGUGGGUCCCGGCGGAAUCGGCGGCGAGGAGGCUGAAGAGGGACUGCGCGCGGCCCGGCGUCCCCGGCUGCUCCAAGUGCCUCCGUGCUCUUUCCACGAUAAAGGCGGGAUCCGGCGGCGGCGAGACGGCGGUUGCGGCGUCGGGGAAGCUGCAGGCGGCCGCGUCGAGCGAGCGGGACUGCCAGCUCAUGGGCCUCAUGUGGCUGCUGCAGCGCAACGCCACGCGCUACGGCGCAGCGGCCACGGCCGUGAUCCGGGCGCAGAUGGCCGCGGACGAGGCGUCCGCCGUGGGCGUCGCGGCGGUGGCGGGGCCGGCCGCCUGCUCGCUCCCCGUGGACGACAUGCCGUUCGCGGCCGAGUACGGGAGGCUCAGCGGGGCCGGCGGACGGCCAACCGCCCUCCGCCGCUUCCACCUGGCUCUGCUCGCCAUGUUCAGCGUGAUCUGCUCGCUGUAG
rnacentral:rRNA from 1 species